GAAACAACAAUGACAAAAGUCAUAGCUUAAAUAUGUUUGUACACAUCAUUAGCUUCAUAAAACUAAACAAUAUAGCCAAGUCUACAACCAUUAAUAAUUCCUCUAUACGAAACUGAUGUCAAUAAAAGUAUAUGUGAGGACAAGCCCCUGACAAUAGCCAAACCAAGUCCAAAAGAGACUAAGUCUAAAGAUAAGAGACCAAGAGAUGAAUUUAUUCCAAAUAAAGGAAGAUCACGACUUCAAGUCAAUGCAUGAUCUACUUUUAUCACCCAAUCAUUGCACGAGAAGAGAAGAAGAAGCUCCAGGCCCUACAUCAUAUGGGGAUGUAGCAUUCAAAAAUGGUUAGCGGUUGGAAUGCUAGCAUAUUACUCAAGGAUAAGUAGAAAAUAGUACAUUUGUUCAAAUUCAUGUCAAUCCAUCAUAGGCGAUCAUAUUUACAUAAGAGGAAUAUUAAAGACCCAUAUCCAUUUAGCAACAUAAUAAAUAAAAUCAUGGAACAAGUCAUAACAUGCAUUUAUGAUACAUUCAUUUAUGAAACAUGGGGUGAAGGACUACCAACCUCCUGCCCUUAUAUUGUAGAUACAUAGAAUCCUUUACACUAUAAUAGGCAAGGAGACACAGGCCUCGAGCCGACACAUGUUAUUUGGUAAGUAGACAUAGACCAUAUACCAACAUGCCUUGCAUAGUAAGUGGACUUGGACCAUAAACCAACAUGCCUUAUAUGGUAGAUGGACUUGGACCACAAACCGACAUGCCUUAUAUUGUAAGCGGACUUAGACAAAAAACCAGCAUGCCUUAUAUGAUAAGCAGACUUGGACCACAAACCAACACACCUUAUAUGGUAAGUGGACUUUAACCACAAACCUACAUGCCUUAUAUGGUAAGGGGACUUGGACCACAAACUAACACGCCUUAUAUGGUAAAUAGACUGGGACCAUAAACCAACACACAUUAUACGAUAAGAGGACUUGGACCACAAACCAACAUGUCUUAUAUGGUAAGCCGACUUAGACCACAAACCAGUACAUUGCUACACAUAUGCCAGUACCCAUUCAAUUCAUCACAUAGUAACUCAACCCAUCUCAAGGUAUUCAAGACAUCAAGGUUACACAUAAACACCAUAGGCCAUCACAUGAUCUCUACCAGCCCAUUUGGCCAUUGCUAACAUGCUUACGCCCAAGGUCUUAGUUCAUAACACAACACAAGUUCAUUCAUGGUUAUCAAAACUCCUACCAAUAAUUAUUCAUAAUUAUUAAUCUUAUACACACCUUUAUUCAAAUACAAUUCGAGUUAAUACUUUAGGGACUAUGACCAUUUAGUCAACCAGUCAUCAAGGAUAUGUAUUUACACAUCAUUUGGCCAACAAGGCCUUUUACUAACUAUUUACCAAGAAUUCACAUACAUUCGAUUCCACACAUAAGGUAUUUAACGUAUGUAACAAAACUCAGCCUUUUACAUUCAUAUUGCAAUCUUGAGGGCCUUCAUUGUCCAUCCAUUUCAAUAAGCCAAUGCCUUAACUCAUUUCAUCAAAUAAUUCAAGUUGUGUUCAUAAUGAUCCAUAUAAGAUAUUCACCUUUCAUUAGCAAUGUUUAGUCUCAUUUUCACCCUACUUGGUUCAAUACACAACUUAAGCUCAUUAUUUUGCCUAGGGUUUCACCGUCUUAUUAACCAUUAACCAAUAAGGUUAUAAAUUUCAUAAUAUAUGACUCAUAAUACCUUUAAAAUGUCAUUCAACAAACAUACAUACUUAUUUAGCCCAUUUCCUUAACUUAACACCUUGUCAAUUAUACAACUAGUCAUUUCACUUAGACAUUUUGACAAACACCUUGUGUCCAUGCCUUUGACAAAGUCAUUUUCAUGGUAGAAAUCAUCAAGACUAGGGUUACUCAAGACCCUCAUUUUAAACAAAAUUCAACAAGCACCCGCGUAUACAAUAUACCCUCAAAUACAUGAUUUAGCACAAGUACAAGUAUGAAUCAUCAUUAUUCAUUAUUAGAUAACAAAACCCUUUUCAUUUGAUUCAAAACCACCAUGUACAUGUACUAAUUCAAGUGUAAAAUAAAUGGGUUUAGAGUUUUUUUAGAAAGGGGAAGAAAUACAUGCCUUAAGAAAGAUGACACACCAUCAAUAUUCACUUUUUCUUUCAACUAGAUGAGCACCUCCAAACCCUAGCCCACAAUCUUUCUACAAGAAGCCUUUAGAGUGUUUAAGAGUGUUUCAUUUUUGUAAAUGAAGACUUAGGAGGCUACAAUUCCUUAUAUAAAGAGAGGAUUUAGGUUUUUAGGCAUGGGAAAUGACCAAAAAGUCCUUGGUUAAAAUCUAGAAUGUCUACAUAUGGCGGGGUAGGACUCCCUCAUAUGGUUCACUUGGAAAUCAUGACCUAGUGCAUGAGUGGCACCCUAACUUGUACCCUAGUCUCCUCCUAGGUUUAUCAUACUGAUUAGGGUACAAAAGGUCACCCUUGAGUUAUAACUAAAGGUUAAGACUCAACCCCUAACUUGUAAACUUCACUCGUCACCAAAGCAAUCCACUCUAGGUUAGGUCCUUACUCCAUGCAACCAUGUAGUAUACGACUCAUAUAUAUGGUUACGACCAUGGGGAGGACAUUUCGUAUAGAGGAUAGUGUUUUACCCUUAUGGACUGAUGAAGAUAUAAAAUGGAAGAUCAAUGUGGGUACAAGUCAUGACCAAAGGUACGACUCAAGAACCCAACCAUACCCACUCUAUGGACAUAUAAAGUUGUUCUUUCAAUGGUUUAAGUCUAGGUGCUACAAUUCCCCCUCCCCCACCCCUUCUUGGACCAUGCAUCCUCGAAUGAGAAAAGAGGCUAGCAUAAACACAAGUGAAUACACCAGCAUGCAUCAAACAACCCUUACCAAGUUAGAAACAAGCACACCACAAGGACACAACACAACAUAUAUCAUGAUAAUCAUCAAUCUCCUAAAAUUUUUGCAAGGCCAUAUUCUUAGGUGUUUUAUUCUCACCCACUUAGGAUCAUUCAUCCAUGAAUGAGGGGUAAAGAAAGAGUGAAUGCAACUUAACAAAUUGUUUCGUAUUGUAACAAUCUUUAAACGAGUUUGAACAAGCAUUCAACAAGGAUAUAACACACAGCAUGCUCAUUACCAAUCAACCAUUCAUUUCAUUAACUUUGGGGCUCAACCCAUUGUCUACCAAGUCAUAUUUCAAUGUAAGGAGAUUAACACAUACCCCCAUCAUAAAUUUCCAAAAUGUAAAAUAAAUGUGGAUACUUAGACUUUAUGUCCUUUUUGUCUUCCCAUAUAGCUUUCUCAGAGUUUUGGUUCUUCUAUAGAACCUUUAUCGAAGCUACUUCUAUCAUUCACAACCAGUAAAAUUUCUAAUCCAAGAUCCCCACCGAGAUCUCCUCACAAGUCAAAAAACCCAAAAUAAUAAUGUCCUCUAAGAGAAUGACCAAUAAAGGAUCACCUAAGGGUCAUGCUAGAUGAUAAGUUCAAUUCAACUUGGACCCUUAUAAGUAGAACCAUCCCUUUAGCCACUCAAAGGACCUUCUUCUCAUACAAUAACAAACUCAUUAGGGAAGGAAUGACCUUAUAGAUCCAACAAUCUAAGGACGCAUAGCACGAAUACAAUUGAUUUAUCCCCAAUUAACAUAAAAAAUAAUUAUAUCCACCUCUAUCAAUAAACAAUACUUUUUUUAUUAUUAAUAGUUAUCAAACACUCUUGAUAGAAUCUUUACAACCAUAGUCUCAAAUUAGUAGAGAAAUAGAGAAGGGAGCUCAAAUGACUUAGAACUAAAUUAAAAUACAUUACCAUAGAUAAGGUCCAUUAUACAAAGUAAAUCAUAAGAAUACCUAACAUGGAGAAGGGGUUUUCCUCAUACCAAUACAACAUCCGGAGAUUCCUCUCCCAACCAUGGUAUAUGUUCUAAUCUAGCUUCUGCUUUAAGUUUAAAAUCUUACUGCAUAGUCUCAUAGUCUUGCUAGAUGGGAUGAAGAGAAUGAGAAACUUCUAAAGUAAGUCAUUCCAAGUUGUGAAUAAACCUACUAUCUCAGUGUUUAACCUUUUUUUCCUUCCCAUAAAAGUGAAAUAGGGAAGAGUGUAAGCAUUAUAUAAUCAAUUAACACACCUGUCAAGAUGAAUAAGUUAGUAAUCUCUAGAAAUUUUUAUAACUGGACUUGUGGAUAUUCAUGUGAUAGCCCGAUAAAAUAUCCAUUGAUGUGCAGAAGCUGUACCAUAUUCUGCUUCAAUUCAAAUCAACCUCGAAGAGCCGGUCUUAGAACCCCAAAUACAUAAGAUUUUAGGGAAAACUUAUGGGUUUGGUGAUACACCUAGAAUUACUUCAAUAUUGUUAACUAAUGAUACCUAUCAUAAAUUAGUUAUUUUAAAACAUGAACUUGAUGGUUGGGGUCCUUGAAUUGUUAUCCUCUAAACUCCACUAAUGGAGAUGGGUUGAGAAUGACAUUUUAAUUUAUGGUUAAUUUACCCUUGGGUAAUAUUUUAGACCAUGAAUAAGGAUAUAAUUAAUAGUUUGAAUUUCAAAAAUAUUUAUUUGAAGAGUACUUGAUUAGUUACUCCUAUAAUUGUUUGAUUUCUCAAUGAUUGGGGUAAUAGAAGCAUAAACGAAAGAAAAGAUAAAACCUUUUCCCAUUCAAAGAUCAUCAAUUGAGUAGGGUUAUGCUUUUUGAGUAGUAAACUAUGGUUAGAAAUCAUAAUCGUAAUAUAUAUUUUAUAAAUAAAACCAUGCUUAGGCCCGCCUUUAUAGAGUUUGGAAGGUCAAAAUAUGGAAUUACUGAAAUAAAGAUCUAACUGGGUGUAGUUAAUUUUUUAUAGAUCCUUGAUGGGUGUUUUUGUUUGUCUGACUUACUUAGUGAAUAACAAGGUAAAUAUGUAAAUAUAGCUAACAUGGAGGAAUUCUGUGAGUUUAAAACUUGGCUUUAAUACCUUAAAAAGUGUGACUUUGAUAUUUGUCUAUUUACAACAUAAGCAGUGUGUAAUUAUAUACUUUCACAAAAUAAACAUCCCAUGUUAUGACCUUUCUUAGUGGUCGCUUUAUUAAAACUUAUGAGUAUGGAUGAUUCCAUGUCUAUUUUGGAUUAACAUAGACCUAUGAGAUAAUAGAAGCAAGUUAGAUUUACAUUUUAAAUGAUCUUUAAUAUAAAUAGCAUGUUCUUUCAUCAGAAAAGUGUAUGUUGAUUUACACAUAUUCUUUAAAUCAUUGGACAAAAUCUGCUUCAAUAUGCUUAUAAAUGACAUCUUCACUUAGAUAAGGGUAAGUAUUCCUUAAUUUUAUCAUGCAAACUACAAUCACAUACAUUAUCAUAUUUGUCUAAUUAUUAGUAAUAUAUGGAUAAUAUUUAGAUAAUAUAGUGUUUAGAACUUACUUAAAGAAAGGUUUUAUCUCAACAUAAUUUAUUAGAAUAAUUAACUAUACUGUCUCAACCUCUUUAAUGGUUCACCACCAAGUGCCUAUGUAAUGACCCUCUAAGUUAUUUUAUCUAUUUCUUAUUCUUUUGAUGUUCCAUGCCUAUCCAUAGUAGAUAAAUUUCACUUAUGACUUGUCGAUCAGUUUGAAUUUUGGGUAGUUCAUUUGGGUUUUAAGCCCACUUCCUUUUUUAUAAGAUUUUAAAGUUGUGGAAUUAGUUUUAGACCAAAGCUUCUAGUAAACAACCUUUGUUAUGACCCUCCAGGUCAUUUUCUAUAUUUCCAUUAAUUUUUUUCAUUUAAAGCUUCCCAAUAGAUGCCCUAAUUCAUUUGUGUCUGAAGAUGGAAGUUUAGUUUUGGGCUGUUUGUUUGUUUUUUAGAGCUAACUUUCUAUUUGAAGUCUUAACUGGUUCAACUUGGCUACCGGGUGAAAAUUUAGUAACACAAUAUCUUAUACCAAUUUGACUGUUCCAAUAACUCUAAAAUAUCAAGUUUAGCCUAGGGGACCCUUGGUUAGGGUCUCGAUGCUCCCAGACUCAUUGUGGGCUAUUGGCUGAAAAUUAAGAAAAAUGGCAAAUAGGUAUGGACCCAGUUUUUAUUAAAACAACCUCAGAUGGAAAUUUUAACUGCGACAUUAAGUUUAAAACGUUGAAUUGAAUGAGGUAGGAUAGUUCAGUUGGGUAUACAUAAGGGGUUGGCGUAGAUACUUUUAGGCCGAUCAAUCAAAGGGGCCCUUAAAGCGGUCGGCCAAUCGCUUAGCGAAUGUUUGGUUAAGCAGUAGCAUCUUAAGAGACAAUGAACUACUUAAGUGAUGAUUCUGUAGGCUAUUGGAUAUUGUUUAAGCGACACUUGGUUGCCUAAGCAAUAACCACUUAAGUGGCCCAAUUUUUGCUGAAGCAGCACCUGCAUACCUCGUAGGGGUAUAAAAACCCCACUUAGCUUGACUUUCCAUAGUAUACAUCCAUUAUCUAGAAUAUUAAAUCCUAAAUAAUGGUAAAACAUGGGAGAAUCAUUUGUGGAUGAUUUUGCGUCUUGGGAUAAAUUAAGUCACAUUUUUCUUCUUUAAAUUUGUGGUAAGUUUCCAUCUAUUUUGGAAUUAAACCCUUCAUCUUUUUCUAAAAUAUCUAGAAUCUUGGUGUCUUUAUUGUAGCCCCAUUAAAGAUUGGAAUUCAUCCAUCUUUUAUGCUAAAUAUUUCUUGAUCAUAGAGGGCCAUUGUGUUGGUUUUGAAAGUUAAAUUUUGUAAAUGGGCCCUACAUGAGAUUUUUACCUGAAUUUGGACCUAGAGCACAAUAGUGCAAUAUAGGUAUCAUUGUUCUUAUUUUUAUGAGUAGAUUGCUAUUUUGAUAGUGUGACAUCUUACAGAUUCUUUUCAAAAGGAAAAAUCAUUGGUUUAAUAGAUUCUUCAGGAUUUACUUAAGAGUCUAGGUAGGCUGGGUUUACCCUCUUUAUAGAUUUAGCUAUUUCAUAGUACAAUUAUGAAAUUAUGCUAGCUAUGGGGUGAGAUGUAGUUUUUGGAACAUGAUUGACAAUAUUUUUGUUAGUUGGUAUGUGUAUGCUACCUUGCAAUCUUAAAUAAUGCAAAACUGACUUAGUUUCUUAUGUUUUAGGUAAAAUUUCAAUCUUAGGGUUAACUUCAACUUAUUAAACACCUAUAAGUAAAAUUAAAUACCUUCCCCUACUCCAUGGUAGUAUUUUCCAUAAAAUGGAUUCAGGAAUUAAAAGUAGGCUCCCAUCUUAGGCCAAGACUUGAGCUAGUUUGGGUAUACCUUUAUAUGCUCGUUAUACACUUUGAAAUGUUUAUUAUGGAACUUAGACGAGAUUAGAUACUUAGUGGUUAUGAUGUCUUUGAUAUUUGGAGUUGAUUUUAUUUUUGGUUAAACCUGGUAGGUAUUAUUAUAGAUGAUAUGAGUUCUCAUUAAUGUUCGACAAUUAAAGAUAUGAAUAUUGGUUCAAGUUUGGUGAUUGAUAUUAUGAUGUUUAAAAUAUGUGUUUGAUACAAGUUCGGCAAAUAAUGGUAAUUAUGAUGAUGCCAUUGAAUUCUAGUUCGAGUUCGAUAUUGGGUCAUUUAUGAUAUGAUAUAGUAUGAAUGGAUUCUCAGUUAUGGAAAUCUAUUUGGUAAAUUAUAGUGGUUUGGUUAUUUACUUUCCUUUGAUUGCACCCUCAAGUCUUAUUGAGGCCUGCAUUGAGUUAUUUACUUUUUCAUACUUAUUGUCUUAUGGGCGACAAGUUAGUAGUUAUUGUUAUAUGAUUUUUUAUUACUAUUUUUGUGUAUUUAUUAUUUCUGUUCAACAAUUAUGGAGGUUAUUCCAGGUUUGCCCUUUUACUUUUACUUAGCUUAAAUAUCUCGCAUUUUAUAUUAUUUAUAUCAUAAUUUAUCUUUGUCGGCCGAUGAUACCUAUUGAUUACCUACGAUUUUUGACACAUACUACACUUUGGUAACUUUUUGGAGUAGAUUCGAAUACUAGUAGCCCCCACUGAAGUGACGAUCAUGUUAAGUUAGAUUUUGAAAAUAGGGUGAGCUUAGUGGCUGGUUAAGCUAUUCUAAUUUCUUAUGAAUUUCAGCCAUUUCAAGUCCCUUUAUACUCUAUUAAUGAACUCUUGAGCUUGGAAAAGUGUAGGGAUUGAUAAAUAGGAGCUGGGUAUCAGUAAGGGGUGUUAAGGUUUUCAAUCCCCGUUAAUUUCUUCAUAAUUUCUCAACCUAAUUAUUUAUUUAAUUCUUGUUCACUUUUGUUUUCCUUUGCUCUUAGGGAUUUUUUUAGCCUCAAUAAAGAUUAUGUUUGUGCUUAACUUUUGAUCACGAAUUCCUUGUUCUUUGAGGGACCUCGUGAUGGAUUCAACCUGGAAAUUUUAUUAGCACACCCCAUGGCCUAUUCUUGAAAUGAUAUAUUGUAGUAAAGUCUUGUUUUAAUCAUACAAAUGUGUAGAUUAUGAAUUUUACAGUGCAAUGAUAUUCAUGAUCACUUUUUCUAUAAAAUCAAAACAUACAUCAAUAUUAGACCUUUUUUAAUCAAAAAUGGUCGUGAUCCAUAGACAGGCCAUUUAUUAAGAAAUCAAAAAAGAUAAAAACUGGGUCUAUACAAAAAUAAAAGAGGUCAAGGCCCAAAUAACUAGACCAAGCACAAAUCUAAAAUGGGAAAAGAAAUAAAAAAUUAACAAAGACCAAUCAUCUUAGAAAAAUCCAAAAAAAUGAUGUUCCAAUCCGACCACCCAUUAAUUCAACUCCCAAUUCACUAUUCAUCUUUUUCAAUGGAAAUAUCAAUGUAGAAAGAUAAAAAUUCACCCACCUAGUAGCUCCAUGAUCUCAAAUUAACCAAGAAACUAACUAUCUUACAUUGAAACAAUCAAUCAUCGACGACUCUAACUUAUACUAUGGUGCACUCGAUUGAGAAAAUUCCUUAGUUUUAGCUUCUGGAUCUCAGAAAGUAAGUCAUACAGACAAAGGUAUGAACACCUUAUGACCCAGAGAGAUGUGGUCUUGCUAUGUCCUUACACAAAUCUGGGUUUUCAUUUAUAGCUUAAGAGCCUCAACACAUUGAGAAAAUCGAUCAAACACCUGACACUAAUGAGCUAAGAAAAAUUAUUAACCUUCCUUUCCUAUGUUGUUUACUUUUAAUUCCACCAUCUAACUUGUUUCUCAGCAUGUUGAACCCCUCAGAAGUUAAUACCACAGCUAUAUCUAAACACUUUUCCAAAGAUAAAAUCAAAGUAGAUUGUACAGGUAAUAUUUUACCAACAGAGCUGAUUUUUCGAUGUCAUAGUAGCAUCAUCCAUUUUGCAUCUUGUAAUUCCUAUUUUGAAUUCUUGUAGUCCUCAGAAAUAGUACAUUUGCGUUUUCUAGCAGAACAAUUUCUUUACUUUUUGGAAUAUCCUGAAAAUUAGUAAAGCUUUGAAUGCUUAAACUUGUACCUGCAAAAUAAACAACAUAAUUAGUGAAAAAAUCUACUAGAGAGUUUACUUAUCUAAGUGUAUUAACCACUUCCACAUAAUGGGUAUUCAUUUUCUCUCUAAUAAAUUUCACGUCUAUGGAAACCAACCAUGGCACCUCCUAGGUUCCAUUUAAAAAGUUCUAUUACUUAAUGUAUUUGUCUCAAUAAUAACAGGGACCAAAUUAUUUGCAAAUAGUAAUUUAAUCCCCUUUUAAUAUCCUUAAUUUGACUAUCAACUACAGAUACCUCUUUUAUAAUCCUUGAUUCUUGAAAUAUAAAGUCUCUAUCUCUAUUUCUAGCACAAAAAACCAACAAACCCAAUCUUGAACUAGCAGUAUUUCAUUUGUAGCUGCCUUCACGGGGAUGAAUCAAUCUCACCACCUUGUGACUAACAAGAAAAGAAUACUCUUCUAAGUAUUUGACCAUCAAAGGCCAUCUAUUUGAUAAUUCUUUCAACCAAGGAUAUUUAUACCUAAUAAACAGGUAUAUAUUUCUUUGGAAAUCCACAGUCAUGGCAUGCUUACUCAUUUUUCCCCAAUGUUUAAUAACAUUUCUCUAUUUCCAAACUUGCCAAAUUUUAAAAAGCAUGAAUUGCUUUAAAAACUGGCUUAAGUUUAGAACAAAUAUUAGCCUUCCAUCACUCAUCUAAAACUUGAUUAAUUUGAAUAAAUAGAAAUGUAAACUUGCAAAAUCUAAAGAAUCUUUCCAAACAUGAGAGGAUUUAUGGAAAAAUAGAAAUAAAUGCUUAAAGAAUUCCUAAAUAGUACUAUUAUAAAAACAACAUAAAACUGAAUGAACAAUACCCUUUCUAGUUAGAACCUCCCUAUAUGGAUUCUUUUAAACCAUAUCCUCCAUAAUAAAAAGUAUACCUUAUAAGGUAAUCCGUUUUUCCAUAUAUUAGAAAUGCUAGAUAUGGUAUCACCUCUCUAUCAAUAUAAAUCCUAAGUUAAGCUAACCUUAAAGUUACCAAUUUUACUGUGCAUCCACCAAAGUUUAUCUCUUCCUUUAGAAAUUUUACAAUCACCUAUAACCCUGUGAAAGUGAUCACAAAUUUUUGCAUUAAAGGUUCCAGCAAGCAUAUCAUUGUUCCAUCCCUCUUCCGUAAUUAAUUGAUGGACAGAUUUUACUUGGUCCUAAAAUGUGAAAUACGAGAGUAAAAAUUUUGAUCCCACUUCUGAGUCUGAUUGUCGUACCAAACAUUGGCAUAACCUUCUUUGAUCUCCCACCAAAUUUACUAAUCAAAGAAAUCUCUAGCCAGCAGCUUAGCUUUCCAAACUUAG
rnacentral:lncRNA from 1 species